UAUUGCUUUCGAAGUAUUCUCCGCGAA
rnacentral:sRNA from 1 species